rnacentral:rRNA from 1 species
AACGAACGCUGGCGGCAUGCCUAACACAUGCAAGUCGAACGAGACCUUCGGGUCUAGUGGCGCACGGGUGCGUAACGCGUGGGAACCUGCCCUUAGGUUCGGAAUAACUCCCCGAAAGGGGUGCUAAUACCGGAUAAUGUCUUCGGACCAAAGAUUUAUCGCCUGUGGAUGGGCCCGCGGUGGAUUAGCUAGUUGGUAGGGUAAAAGCCUACCAAGGCGUCGAUCCGUAGCUGGUCUGAGAGGAUGAUCGGACACACUGGGACUGAGAUACGGCCCAGACUCCUAGGGGAGGCAGCAGUGGGGAAUAUUGUACAAUGGGAGGAAGUCUGAUGCAGCAACGCCGCGUGCGGGAUGAAGGACUUCGGGUUGGAAAACGCUUUCGCCUGUGAAGAAGCGUGAGUGACGGUAAUGGGUAAAGAAGCACCGGCUAAAUACGUG